rnacentral:miRNA from 1 species
CCAGGGCUGGCAGGGGAGGGU